rnacentral:rRNA from 1 species
UUCAUGGAGAGUUUGAUCCUGGCUCAGGACGAACGCUGGCGGCGUGCCUAAUACAUGCAAGUCGAGCGGACAGAUGGGAGCUUGCUCCCUGAUGUUAGCGGCGGACGGGUGAGUAACACGUGGGUAACCUGCCUGUAAGACUGGGAUAACUCCGGGAAACCGGGGCUAAUACCGGAUGCUUGAUUGAACCGCAUGGUUCAAUUAUAAAAGGUGGCUUUUAGCGACCACUUACAGAUGGACCCGCGGCGCAUUAGCUAGUUGGUGAGGUAACGGCUCACCAAGGCAACGAUGCGUAGCCGACCUGAGAGGGUGAUCGGCCACACUGGGACUGAGACACGGCCCAGACUCCUACGGGAGGCAGCAGUAGGGAAUCU